rnacentral:lncRNA from 1 species
GCGGACUCCGCGGACAAGGCCAGGCCUAGCCUUGAGCUCCGUCGGGCAGGGCCGCCGGGAUUGGUGUCCGGCAGAGCGUGAGCCCAGCGGGCUGGAGUCGGCGAGCGGGAGUGAAAGAAGAAAAGCUAGAGAGCGAAGGCAAAGCCCGAGGAGAGAGGGCCGCGGUCGGCGGAGGAAUCUGACUGCACGGUUGCGUGCGCUCACUCCCGGAGGGCUCCCUCAGGCGGGCGGCUCCGCUAGUGGCUAAAGGCAAAGCAUUCCGGGGCGCGGCGCAUGAAGUUGAGCUUCGUCCCUGCUAGCCGCCGCUUUCUCCCCAAAAAUACAUCCUAGCCUUAAUGUUUAUGCCUCCAUUGCCCCAGUUCUUAUCUGUUUUGCUCAAUGUCUCAUAGCUACAAGAAGGCAAUUUCUGACGAAGCCCUCCGUCCCUUCCAAAUGGAUUAUUUUGGCGGGCUUCCACCCGGACAGUAUGCCACCCGAAUGACUGGACAAGUGCACGGGAGCGGCUGUCAUUUGCGGAGUGCGCCUUGCGAUCUAGGCGCCUCACAGCGCAAAUUAUCCAGUAAUUUCUCUGAAAUCGAUGCUGGUUUGUUUUCCCAAGGCAAAUCAGCAGCUUAUACAGACAUUGGGGCCACAAAGCCGGUGGAACAACGGGAGACGGCUUCCUGAGUGUCAGGUCCUCCAAGAUGAGCUUAAACUUCGGGUGGUGGGCAGGCUCGGUAGGCGGGAAAGGCCCGUGUCCAGAUGAAUGCAGUCCAUGUUUAUAUUGAUGAAAGACACGUAUACCAUUUGGUCCAGCUCAACCAUUCUUAACAAGUGCUGGCUGUGAGCACUGGUGUGUGUGUGCCUGCGUGCAACCAGCAAUGUAAGUGAUGACCAGCUGCAUGAUGCCUUAAUUUGAGUGGACAAAGUCGGUCAAGAACCACUUUCAGGCUUCUGGGUCUCCAAGUCUUUGUCUCCCUGUAUCCAAACGAGGCAUUCCAAGUUUGACAGCAUGGAACAUUGCAUGUCCGAAAUACCAACCGUGAAACUGGGUAAAAAGCUUCAGGAGGUGAUAUUGAUGUGUAUAGUUUAGGAAAUAAAACCCAAUACUUACUUCAAAGAACGUAAUUUGUGGCUUUUUAGAGAGAAGGAUACUUUGACAGUUUUCAUUUGUCGUCUACAUGUAUAUGGUACGUUUCAUUCUGCCUUUUAAUUAAUUUGGUAUUUUACUAUGAAAACUACUUUGUAUUAAUAAAAUAAUGUAUUUCCAAUGUUAUAAGUUGUGUUAUAACAGUUUCAAAAGCCAAAUAAACAAGAUGCAUUUUGAAAAAAAAAAAAAAAAA